GAUCAAACAUUUUAUUUCAAUCAUAAAAAGAAUUAGAAUACCUUCAGCUGCAAGCAGUGGCUAAAAACAGCUUAAGCAGUAAGGCUACUUAGUGACCUCGUAAAAUGAGCAGUCCAGGGGCAGGUGGUUCUGGGCACGCUUCCUGUAUCGGCUCCACUCUGUCCCGUGCACUCCAGGCUGGCCGCUCCCUGCUUCUCUUGCUUUCUCCCUCAUCUUGACACAAUAUCUCCAAGCAUCACACCUGGGGACCAACCCAACACCCCUCCCCAAACCCUCUCUCCCUGUCCACCUGUGUCAUAGGGUGAGUUGUGUCCCCGCAGAAGAUGUGUUGAAGUCCUAACCCCCAGCACCUGUGAAUGUGACCUUCUUUGGAAAUAGGGUCUUUGCAGAUGUGAUCAAGCAAAGAUGAGGUCUAGAUGGAUUAUGCUGGGACCUAACCCAGUGCCUGGAGUCCUUUGAAGAAGAGGCACGGGGAGAAGGCCAUGUGACGACAGAGGCAGAGAUGGGAGGGGUGUGUCUAGGAGCCAAGGAUUGCUGGCAACCACCAGAAGCUGGGAGAGAGGCAAGGAGGAAAUUCUCCCUCAGAGCCUCUAAAAAGGAACCCACCCCACUGACAACUCGGUUUGGGGCUUCCAGGCUCCAGAGCUGUGAGAGAAUACACUGCUGCUGUUUCAAGCCCCUCUGGUUUAUGGGAAUUUGUCAUGGCUGCGGUAGGAACUAAGGCAUCUCCAGUGUAGAGGCAGAAAUGCUAGAUGUGCUCUUUUCCAGCUUUCCUCGCACAUCCACUUCCUGGAUGUAGCCGUUUGCCACAAUGCUCAUUGAUGAGAAGUCACUGAAAAUCUGCCCAGUGGCUCUGAGGACAGCUUUUGCUUUCCUAGUAAAAGGGACAGACGCCACCAGCACUUGCUCUUCUCCCUGUGUCUUGCUUGCACUCGGACAGUGCUGGAGAGCCCUCCUUUGACCUUGAGGUGGCAAGCGUGCGGCUGAAACAGUGGACUGGAAAGACACAAAGACAGAAGGAGCCUGGGUCCUUGACACCGUCAUUGAAAGUUGAAUGACGUCUGCCCACCUACCACUGGACCUGUGAGAAACACAAACCUUGAGUCAGUGCUUGCUGUCUCAAGUGGUCUCAACCAUCCCAGCGUGGACCUGACUCCCCUACGCCCCAUCCAAGGCAGGCAGGCAGGAGAUGGGCCAGCCUCACUCAUUCUCUUCCUCCCUUUCUGCCUCGGCCCCCAACCCCUCCUCCCUCUCCUCUCCCCCUCCCUUCCCUCUCGCCCCUCCCCUCUCUCUCAGAGACAGUCUUUCCCAUAAUUCUCCAGCUGCCUUCCCCUUACAUCCCAUGGCCAGAGACUGGUCGCAUGCCCACCUCACACCCAUCCCUGGCAAAAGGGGCUGGGGUUUCACUGACUGGCUAAGGAUCAACUUGGAGACAGUCUCAUCUGGUCUGAGCCCAUGACUCAGUUUCAGGAAGCAGGAUGGGGAGGCACCUACCUGAACAGGUCACCCCAGGCUGGCCCAACCUUGGUGAAGUCACUGAGUUCCAAGAUGUGGUCCAAAAUGGCAGCAUAUUAAUUUUCAAUGAGAAAGAGAACUAUGAAGGAGUUCUCUCUGCCAGCCAGUCUGCCCAGGCAGCUAAAGCCUGUUCAGAAGGCAGCUUGGAGAGCGUGCCCACAAACUGAGCCAAUGCAGGACCCCCACCCGCAGGGACCAACCCACGGUGUGGACCACACACUUGUUUGUGUGGGCCAGGCAUCCAUUGCCCCCAUGAAAGACAAGAAGCACAAUGCUAGCAUCAAAUCUCUAGCCCUGUGCCUGGAGCCUCCAUGGCUGACCCACCUCCUCUUGAGGACUUCUCUGUUCUUUAUCAGUGAUGUUAAUACUGUCAGUCAGACUUGAGGCUGAGCUGGGUCCUGACUCUCCAGGAUGCAGCAGAAGGAAGGAAGGAAGAGAGGAGUGAAUGGAUGGGCACAGCCUUCUGCUCUGAGACCACCUGUUGGUUGUUUAGGCUCAAGAAACAGAAGCUUAAACAAAAAGGAUCCCAGGUCUCACACCCCAAGGCCAGGGAGGAGCAGACCAAGGGCACGUGGGGCUUCCGAGCAGCAACAGGGCCUGCAGACCUACCCUCUGCGCUUCCACUGUCACUCUGUGAAUUCCUGUCCUUGGGCUGCGUAACCAAGCCCUGCAGACUGGUGUCUCAACAACACAGAAGUGUCUUCUCCCACAAUCCUAGAGGCUAAACAUCGAAGAUUAAGAACGCUGCAGGGCCACGCUCCCUCUGAAGGCUCUAGGGGAGGAGACUUCCUCGCCUCCUCCAGCUUCUGGUGGUGCCAGCGGUCCUGGGGGCUCCUUGGCUUGUAGGCACAUCGCUCCAGUCCUGCCUCAGGGGCCUUCCUCCCUCUGUGUGUCUGUGCCUCGUGACACGAUAGUCUCCUCUCCGUGUGUCUGUGUCCAAAUUAACCUCUUCUUAUAAGGACACCAGUCACUGAGUUAGGGCCCACCCUGGUCCACUAUGACCUGAUCUUAACUCAUUAUAUCCGCAAAGACCCUAUUUCCCAGUAUGGUCACAUUCACAAAUACCGGGGUGUAUUUGUAACUUCUAGGGGCACACAGUUCAACUCACGACACUGUGCCUCAGUUUCUCCAGCCAAUCCAGAUGUUAGGUACAGAGAGAGGCUCGAACUGGCCCAGCAUGACAGGUGUCUGCCCCUGGCCCAAUCAGGCUGGUGGGUGGUUCUCAGGGAGCAGUGAGGGAUGUGAGCUGGGAGCCUCCCUUCUGGUGGGUCCCCCCACACACGAUGCUGGUGGGAGUCUUGGAGGCAUUGGUAAUGUUUCCAGGUAUUGCCCACCUACAGCACAGGAAUGCAUUGAUCCAACUCCCGCCUGCUGGUUUCCUUAGAGAUCUUCACAUUUCAGAAAGCGGUUAGAGUGUCAGGGUCCUUGGCCACAUUUCCCGGGCACCCCAUAUCUCAACCCCACCAUAACCAGGGCCCACUUUCUCCUUCCUUUCUGGAGUAGCUGGCUUCUGACCGUCACUGCUCUCCCUUUAUCCCCACACACCCUCUCUGGCUCCCCUUGAUCUGUGCUUGGGACCCACCGUUCAUCCCGGAUGCUCUGAACAUGGCCUUCUUUCCCCAGCCGUCAUUCAUUCAGUCAGACCGUCUCUGAGUGAUUGGCUUAGCAUUUCACAGCCGGCUUUUGAAAAGAAAUCAUAACUGGCAUAUCAAGGGUUGAUGUGGUUUGGAGAAAUUAAGAUUUUUUUUUUCAUGAGCAAGUAAACUGAGAAUUAAAUUAGGUCUAAAAUUUAUUUGCGCCUUCUGACAACUUGUUUGCAGGAAGUAAUUGCCCGGGUGCUGGCAACUUGAAUAAUCAAAGAGAGGCUUAGGAAAAACUGGGCAUUGCAAAAGAAAGAAGGAAAUAAUAAAUUCAAAUUAAGAGUUUAUUCUCCCAAAUAUUUAUCUAUAAGGAUUUUCAAACACACGGCAAAGCUGAAAGGCUUUCUCCAGUGACCACCUGUGUGCGCCCCGAGAGUCUGUGUGGACACGUGACUGUGCUUGCUUUAUCAUCCCCCUGUCCUCUUUCCAUCCUUCUCUCCAGCUGAGAAUUGAUGUUUUAAUUAGAUGAUUACAUAUUGCUCCUGGGGACUCUCUCUGGGAAAGCGCAGAGCAGACUGUCAGCACUCACUUUCCGUGUCCGUCAGCCCAGGAUGGAAGCCCUUCAGAUCAGACUCCCUGUGAUACUGUGAUUUGUAAAAAGAAACAUGUAUUUAGUCUUCGUCCUGUCUCUGGCACAGAGCUCCUAAAACCCUUGGGGUUUCCCAAGUGAUAAGAGCUAUAAAGCUGUCUUGAUAUUCACGACAAAGCCCUUUCACCCACACCUGAGUUUACAUUUAUGCCGUGACUUUUGGAAAGCACCAUGGAGGGGGCUGGCUGCCAGGGGAACCAGCCAUGUGAUUGGAGGGUUGGCACUUUCUGUCCCACCCCCAGACUUGUGGGGAGGGGAGAAGGGCUGGGGGCUGAACCCAUCACCAGUGGCCAAUGAUUUAAUCAGCCACGGCUAAGUAAGGAAGCCUCCGUAAAAACCCAAAAACUGAGGGGUUCAGAGAGCUUCCAGCUGGUGAGCACGUGGAGAUCCCAGGAGAGUGGCGAGGCUGGAGAGGGCGUGGGAGCUCCGCCCCUUCCCCACCUUGCCCCGGGCAGCUUUUCCAGCUGGCUCUCGUCUGGACGUUUCAGAACUUUCAACCCGCUAGUGUCCCAUGCAAAUUGCCGAGGAGCGGCCGCACAGAAGGUGCUUCCGGAACAGAGCCCUUCUGUUGCAAAGCGUGGAAAGGCCAGCACUGCACAGACUCCCCUCGGGAGACCCUGCCCUCAAUUCCGCUUGCCCGCUUUGCUUCUCGUCCUCUUGACCAACUUUGUGACCUGCAUUUCAGGCUUAAAGUUGAAUUUCUCCUACUAAGUGUUGUGCUAAACGUGGAGUUGAUGGAUCUGCACUGGGCUUCGCUAUUUGGUCUCGACAUAGCCCAUCAUUUAACUCGGGGCAUCUGGUGUGGCACAAUCAGCAAGAGGCUGCCAGGAGAGGAAGGUUCCAGGCACCCACCGAGACAUAUCAACAUCUCGAAAGAAACUUGUCCUCAAAGGAACUUGUGUCAUCAACAUGCAAAGCCUUAAACAGAUAGCACUGCCAUCGGAACCCCUGUGGAAAUGUCCCUCUGUCUCUCCCAAUAACACCAGCCCCCAAAACCAAUGAAAAGAUUUAUUGCACGUGUUUCUUCUUUUUUGUCAGUUGCCUUUCAUGACUAGCGUAGUACAAUCUGGCUACCUAUCUGGGUUUUUAAAUGUGCAGUAGAUUUAAAUAUUCUUGCAACUGUUUAAGUAAACAAAACUUUUAAGUGAAUAAGUAUAAAGAAUGUUUCCAUACCUGGCAGUCUACCAUUCUAGAAACGUCUGACUGGCUGCACUGGCUUUUCCGGGCUGACCUGGAAACAUCAUCAUCCCUGCAAGUUCUGUGCCCAGCCCGUGCCUGAAAGAAAGUAGAUGCUCAGCAAACAUGUGAUGGUUGGAUAAAUGUGUAGAGAGAAUGGACCCUGACGAGUCAGGCUCAAAGGUCGGCAACUGCACUGAUGAGGGAGAAAGAUUCUCAGGACGACAUCUUGUCUGAAAGCAAGACUGAGACUCAGGUGCUGGCUCCCUGAGACUUGGAAACUGAGUGCCCCUUGAGCAUAUGUCCUUCCUCUGACUUUGGACUGGAUAUUCAGCUCCCCAAAAAUCCCUGUAGGGUGAGCAGGAACCAAGGGGCAGGGGACUUUGUUUAGAGUAUUCACAUUCCUUAGCACCAGCAUGCUUUCAGCUGCAAGUGACCAGUAAUCUACUCCAACACAUGGACCCAAGAAAGGCCAUUUGUUGAUUCUUGUAAGUGGGAGUUUCGAGGUGGAUUCAGCCAUGGCCGGAUCCAGGUGCUCAAACAUACUCAUCAAGAGUUGGCCACCACCAGUCAGCUCUCACCAUCAUGGUAAAUGACCACCAGCAGUUCCAGAUGGCAUCCCACCCUCCCAGGUGCCAACCCCCUUGAGAGAGAUUCUGUGGACCAGAGUUCCCACAAACAUCCUGUGGUUGCCUCUCACUGGUCUGGCUUGGAACACGUGCCA
rnacentral:lncRNA from 1 species